GCUUACGGCCAUACCAGCCUGGGUAUGCCCGAUCUCGUCUGAUCUCGGAAGCUAAGCAGGGUCGGGCCUGGUUAGUACUUGGAUGGGAGACCGCCUGGAAAUACCAGGUGCUGUAAGCA
rnacentral:rRNA from 1 species